rnacentral:rRNA from 1 species
UGCAAGUCGAACGAGAAAGUAGGAGCAAUCCAUGAGUACAGUGGCGUACGGGUGAGUAACACGUGGGUAAUCUACCUCUUUGUGUGGAAUAACCCUGGGAAACCGGGGCUAAUACCGCAUAAGCUCGAGAGAGGAAAGCAGCAAUGCGCUGAGAGAGGAGCCCGCGGCCGAUUAGCUAGUUGGCAGGGUAAAAGCCUACCAAGGCAAAGAUCGGUAGCCGGCCUGAGAGGGCACACGGCCACACUGGCACUGAAACACGGGCCAGACUCCUACGGGAGGCAGCAGUGGGGAAUCUUGCACAAUGGGGGAAACCCUGAUGCAGCGACGCCGCGUGAGCGAUGAAGCCCUUCGGGGUGUAAAGCUCUUUCGGCAGGGAAGAUUAUGACGGUACCUGCAGAAGCAGCUGCGGCUAACUACGUGCCAGCAGCCGCGGUAAUACGUAGGCAGCAAGCGUUGUUCGGAGUUACUGGGCGUAAAGGGUGUGUAGGCGGUCUUCUAAGUUUGGUGUGAAAUCUCCCGGCUCAACUGGGAGGGUGCGCCGAAUACUGAAAGACUAGAGUGCGGGAGAGGAUAGUGGAAUUCCUGGUGUAGCGGUGAAAUGCGUAGAUAUCAGGAGGAACACCGGUGGUGUAGACGGCUAUCUGGACCGUAACUGACGCUGAGACACGAAAGCGUGGGUAGCAAACAGGAUUAGAUACCCUGGUAGUCCACGCCCUAAACGAUGCAUAUUUGGUGUGGGCAGUUCAGUCUGUCCGUGCCGGAGCUAACGCGUUAAAUAUGCCGCCUGGGGAGUACAGUCUCAAGGCUGAAACUCAAGGAAUUUGACGGGGGGGCCGCACAAGCGGGUGGAUCAUGUGGUUCAAUUUCCAA